UCAUAGAUACACACUUUAUAUACUCAUGAUUGUUUUAUUGCUGCAUUCCUCUUAACCUCUAUACUGAAAAGUAGUAUUUUUUUCUCUUAUUUUGUUUACUUUACCGUUCAGUAACCUCUUAUGGUUUGAUAAAAUUCUAAUGUUCAAGGAGUCUAGUUAUUGAUUGUUAGAAUUAGUGGGCUUAGCCCAUUGGGAUAUUUGCCCUAAAUAUUUUUUCCUUUUUUUAUCUCUUUGUAUUAUUCUAUUUAUUCCCCCUCUUGUACCUAUUGUAUUUUUAUCAGAAAAUAAUAAUAACAACAUAUCAUGGUUUUUCUCCCAGUACUCGGGUUUCCACAUAAGUUGUGUUUUGUGUUUUAUUGCUUUCGAUAUGGUACUAGAGCAAAGCAAAAUAGUUUAGGAGAAACCCAAAUAAAACAAGAAGCCGCUGCCACCAAGGACGCCAUCAGUACCGUUGUUGCCACCAUGGAAAAAUUGCUCCAACAACUUCAAAAGCCACCGACGGUCACAAUGGGACAACCCUUGUCGUCGUUCGCGCAGCCCUUCGACCAGAAUUAACCUCACGCGCCGCCUCUGUCAAGGUGUGGGCCCAUGUGCGCUAUCCGUUCGUCUCAACGCUCAACCCAAUCUCUUCUAUGCUCAGUCGACUAUCCAACUGUCUCACCCUUUUAGUCGGCCAUAGCACCACACAUUGCCCAUGCCCUCCGGUUACGGACAACCGCCACCAAAAUUAUACAGAUCCUUUACAGCAACCAUAUUUUUGUGGUCCCAGGAUUAACCAAAUCCAUAGCAAAUAUGGUUUUGAAGUUGGUGAAUCCUCGACACAGUUUAAAUCGACCGAUCUACCAAUGUAUUCAAAGAACUCGAUAAUUUUCCUUCCUAAUUUGCCUUCGAAUUAUAUAACUGACUCUGCUGCCUUUAAUGCUCGUUUCUCGACCCAUGCUAGUGAGAAGAACAGUGGGAAACCAAUCCCUGUUUGUGAGCACUGUAAGAAACAAAGGCACACUAAGGAUCAGUGUUGGAAACUCAACAGUCGUCCCCUAGGAGGUAAGAAACAUUCCUCCAACGAGCAACAGAACUCAGGGCGUGUCGAUGUUAGUGAGAUUGCCAGCACCUCUUAGUCAACUUGCCCUAUUGCUAGCCAAACCAGCCCUCUUCCUCUAGGUGGCAUUGCUCAGUCAAGUAUGCCUUAAUCCCUUGGCCUUGUCAGUGUUGAUGGGAAGAAUCCCUGGAUUUUGGACUCAGGGGCUACAGAUCACUUGACAGGUUCUUCGGAGCACUUUCUCUUAUACAACCUGUGCCGACAAUGAGAAAAUUCGGAUAACUGAUGGCUCUUUAGCAUUGAUUGCUGGCAAAGGGCAAAUAGUUUUCUCGGUCUCUUUCUCCAAAAUGUUUUGCAUGUGUCUAAGCUUUCUUAUAAUUUGUUAUCAAUCAGUAAGAUCACCUGUGAACUGUACUAAAGCUACUUUCUUAGCUGAGUCUGUUUGUUUUUAGGACUUGAGCUCAGGGAGGACGACUGUCACCGUCUGAUAUAGCAGGGGACUUUACAUCCUUGAUGAUGAUACCUUCGAUAGUAGUAUCUCUAGGACUAGUUUACUGUCUAAACUAUUUUAGCAUUUCUGAACAUGAUUGGAUGUUGUGGCUUUUUUUUAUUGGGUCACCCGAACUUUACUUUAUGAAGUGUUUGUUUCCUCAUCUAUUUUCUAAAAUUAUGACUCCUCUCUAUCUUAUGAUGUGUGUAUUCGGGCAAAAUAACAUCGGGUUUUUUUUUCCUCACAACUAUAUAAACCCACACAACUGUUUAUCCUUAUCCACAAUGAUGUUUGGGGUCUAUUCAAGGUCACCAUCUCAUCUGGGAAAUCGUGGUUUGUAACUUUCAUUGAUGAUCAUACACGUCUUACUUGGGUCUACUUUAUCAUCGAUAAGUAUGAGGUUUCCUCUAUUUCCCAAAACUUCUAUCGUACCAUUGAAACUCAAAUCCAUACAAAAAUUGUAAUUCUUCGGAGUGAUAAUGGUCGGGAAUUCCAAAACCAUAACUUUAGGGAGUUCUUAGUCUCCAAAGGGAUUGUUUACCAAAGCUCGUGCACUUACACUUCUGAACAAAAUGGGGUAGCCGGGCGAAAAAUCGCCAUCUUCUAGAAGUAACCCGUUCUCUUAUGCAAUCUACUUCCUUUCCUUCAUGCCUGUAAGGAGAUGCUAUUCUUACAACAACUUAUUUUAAUCAAUAGUAUGUCUUCUCUUAUCAAUCCUACCCUUCUACUCGUCUAAUUUAUGAGGUUCCCCUUUGUGUAUUUGGGUGUGUUGCAUAUGUCCAUAAUUUCGUCCCUAACCAGACCAAAUUUACCUCUCGGGCUUAGGUUUGUUGUGUGUUUGUUGGGUGUCCCCUUCAUCAGUGCAGUUAUAAAUGUUUUUAUCUGUCGUCCAUAAAAUACUUGUCACUAUGGAUGUUACUUUCUUUUGAGGACCGACCCUACUUUCUUGUUUGCCAUCUUCGGGAGAAGAGUGUGAGUAGGGAGUCUAACUGUACCUUAGAGUUUAUCAAACCUACUCCUAGUAUCGUGUCUUUCUAUCCUCAUCACAUAGUCCUAUCCACAAACUAAGUUUCCUAGAAAACGUAUUAUAGGAGACAUCUGAGAAAGAAAGUUGAGACCCCUACUAGUCAGUCAGUUCCAUUCCAAGACUCUAAAGCUCCUCGAGAUCAAGGUGUGGAAAACCCUACCAAACCUUAUAUUGAUUAAGAUGAGUGAGAAUGACAGGUAUGAUGUUGUUCUGGAAAAUGUGGAAGAACUGAGGUCAAAGUAGAAACCAGAAAUAAUGAAGCUGAACAAAGUCAUAUAGGAAAAAUUGAUGAGUAUGAUCCCUCUGCAGACAUUCCCAUUACGUUGAGAAAAGGUACUACAUCUUGUACAAAACAUUCCAAUUAUAAUUAUGUUUCCUAUGAUAAUUUCUAUAGCAAGCCUUUAUUCUACCAUAAUACCAAAAAGUAUCCAUACUACUUUAUGGUGUCAUAAAUGGAAGAAUGUUGUCAUUGAAGAGAUGAAGGCUCUGGGAAAGAAUAAAACUGGGAGAUUUGUGCUCUACCUAAAGGACAAAAAAUUGUUGGAUGCAAAAGGGUGUUCACUCUCAAAUACAAAGCAAAUGGAACACUAGAUAGACACAAGGCAAGCUGGAUGUUAAGAAUGCUUUUUUGAAUAGAGACUUAGUGGAGGAAAGUAAGAUUGCGCCCCGCACCUAGAUUUUUGGUCAGCAGGUAUGUAAACUCCAAAAAUCUCUACAUGGUUUGAAAUAGUCACCCAGAGCAUGAUUUGACAGGUUCACUACUUUUGUCAAGUCCCAAAGGUAUAGUGAGGGGCAUUUUAAGCAUACUUUAUUUUCAAAGGUUUCCGAGACAGGAAAGAUUGCAGUUCUGAUAGUGUAUAUGGAUGUCAUAGUUUUGUUUGGAGAGGAUCAGGCAGAAAUUAGUCUAACUAAAGCAUAGAAUAGGUGGUGAAUUUAAAAUUAAGGAUUUAGGAAAUCUGAAAUAUUUUCUUGGAUGGAGGUGGCUAGAUCUAAAGAAAGCAUCUUUGUGUCUUAGAGAAAAUACAUCCAUGAUUUGCUAACCGAGACAGGUAUGUUAUGAUGUCAUCAUGCUGACAGUUCUAUUGAAUUCAACUUUAAACUAGGAAACUUUAAUGAUCAAGUUCUAAUUGAUAAAGAAUAAUAUCAAUGCCUUGUGGGUAAAUUGAUUUACUUAUCCCAUACUCGUCCUGAUAUUUCCUUUGUCGUGAGUGUUGUCAGUCAAUUUAUGCAGGCUCUCUAUGAUGAACACAGGGAAGCUGUCAACAGAAUUAUGAAAUACUUGAAAACGACACCAAGUAAAGGGUUGAUGUUUAGAAAGUCAAACAAGAAGACCAUUGGGGCAUAUACUGACUCAGACUGGGCAGGAUCUAUUGUUGACAGAAAAUUUACCUCCGGUUAUUGUACCUUUGUAUGGCGCAAUCUUAUAACUUGGAAGAGUAAGAAGCAAAGUGUUGUGGCUAGAAGUAGCGUUAAGGUUGAAUACUGAGCUAUGAGUUUGGGAAUAUGUGAGGAAAUUUGGCUCUAGAAAAUCUUGUCUGAUCUUCAUUAGGAGUAUGAAACACCAAGGAAGUAUUUUUGUGAUAAUAAAGCCGCUAUUAUUAUUGCUAACAACCUAGUUCAACAUGAUAGAACUAAACAUGUUGGGAUUAUCGGCAUUUCAUCAAAGAAAUACUUGACAAUGAGAGCAUAUGCAUUUCGUACAUCCCUUCGAGCCAAAAGGUUGCUGAUGUUCUCACUAAGGGGUUUGUCAGACUAAACAUCAGUUUUUGUGCUAGCAAAUUGGGGCCCUAUUGGGAGAUUUGCCCUAAAUAUUUUUUCCUUUUUUAUCUCUUUGUACUAUUCUAUUUAUUCCCCUUUUGGACCUAUUGUAUUUUUAUUAGAAAAUAAUCUGAAAAAAAAAUAUCGUGGUUUUUCUCCCGA